GGUUGCUGGGAAUUGAACUCAGGACCUUUGGAAGAGCAGGCAAUGCUCUUAACCACUGAGCCAUCUCUCCAGCCCCAGGUUUCUGUUCUUGAGGUCCUAACUAACUCAGAGUAGCUUAAGGAGCAUGGUGACCAGGUCCAUGGCUUCUAGACUUUCUUAGGGACAGCCUCUCUGCACCAGCACUCUCUCCUGAGGACAACAGACAUGUAACCAAUAGGCUGUUAGAGUGAUAGAGGCUUGAUCACAAAGGACUUUGCCAUCUCCUGUAACCAGGAAGACUCCCAGUGGAGGAAUUAGGACACCAACCCAGCCUCAAAACCUUCGACCUACAAUUUGUCCUGCCUACAAAGUAUGCUGUGGUAAAGAUGACACAGAAAUUGAAAGUGGAUGACCAAUGUCCUCCCCAGCUUGAGAUCCAUGCCAAGAGGGAGCCCACCCCUGACACUGCCAGGAAAGCUGGAAAGCCAGGAACCAAAAGCUAGAUAGCCAGAGACUUAGGAUAGAGCCAAACAUGACUGACCAAAAAAAUAGUAAAUAAAAUGAUUCCUAGUGAUACUCUGCUAUACUCAUAGACCAGAGUCUAGCAUAAUUGUUGUUAGAGAGGCUUCAUCCAUCAACUAAGGAAACAAACACAGAGAUCCGCAGCCAAACAUUAAGCAGAGCUCAGGGAAUCCUGCAGAAGAGGGGGUAGAAGGAUUGUAGAAUUGUAGAAACCAGAGGAAACAAGGACACUACAAGAAAACUCAGAGAAUCAACUAACCUGGACUCAUAGGCACUCACAAAGACUGAACCAAGAACCAGGGAGCCUGCGUGGAUCUGACUUAGGUCCUCUACAUAAUGUGUGGUAGUUAUGUAGCUUGGUGUUCUUGUGGAACCCCUAAUAGUGGGAAAGGGGGCUAUCUGAAUUUUUUUGCCUGCUUUUGUGACGUUUCCUCCCAGCAGGUCACCUUGUCCAGCCUUAGUACUAGGGGAAGUGCAUCGUCUUACUGCAACUUGAUAAGCUAUGUUUGGAAGGCCUGCUGUUUUUGAAGGGAAGUGGAGGGGGAUUGGUUGGGGAAAGAGUAGAGGAGACUACAGUUGGAAUAUAAUAUAUGACAAAAAAAUAAAUUAAUAAAAAACCUGGAAAAUAUGUUGAAGUGGAUAUGUAGAACUUGGAACCUAUACUGCUGAUGGAAAUGUAAACACGUAUUAGUAGCUAAACAAAGAGCUGACCCAGCAACUCUAUUCCUAGGCAUAAACCACCGCCCCUGAAAAGUACUUAUUAUUUUUUUACUAUUAUUCAUAGUAAGUGACUCAUAAUAGGAGAAAAACAAAAGAAAAAAAAACAGAAAUAAAAAAAUAAAGUACCUUGCAGCUUCUCGCUGGUUCUCUUAUCUUCAUCUCAGGGAAAGCCAGCUUCCAGGUCAUGAAGAAGCUCAAGCCCUUGCAUCUCACAGGGGUCCAUAUGACAUUGGAGCCUCCUGUCAGUAGCCAUGUGAGUGAACCCUAUUGGAAGCUGGUCCUCCAGCUGCAGCUGAGCACCUCCUGAGACCCUCAGCCACAGUACUCAGAGAACACUCUGGAACCUGAGACCAGGAUUGUGAGACAAUAAAUGUUCGUUUAAAGUCACUUGCUUUAAUUUAUUUAAUUUAUUACCUAGCAGUAGAUAACUGCUAUUUUCUUGCCCAGGUGAGUAUAGAAAAUGAUUAAAUAGAGCUUUUUGAUCCUUGCUUAGAAAAAAAAAUAUUCUUCGUUUGCAAGAAAAUUAAGUCUAAAUUUGGUGGAGAUAGAGCCUCCCCCCUCCAAAAUAAAUAAAUGAAUAAAUAAAUUAAUUAAUAAAUAAAAACUCUGGAAAAACCAUUGACCCAGAUCUUUGAGAAAACAGUGCUGGUUGGUUGACUUUUGUUAACUUGACACAAACUUACAUAUAUCUGAGAAACAGUGAUCUUGUUUUGAGACAAAGUCAAUGUAGUCCUGGCUGGUACUUGCUAUUUUAUUCCAGGUUGGCCUCAAACUUCCAGAGCUCUGCCCUCCUUUGACUCCUAAGUGCUGGGGUCAAACAUACGUACCACCAUGUCCAGAUUGGGAAGAGGUAAUCUUAAUUGAGAAAAUGUCUUUAUACAGUUAGUCUGUGGAUAUUUUCUUGAGUAAUGAUUGAUAUGGAAGGGCCCCACUCACUGGGCAGGGCCAUCUCUAGGCAGUUAGUCCUGGAUGAUACAAGAAAGCAGGCCACACAAGCCGUAAGGAGCAAGUCAGUAAGAAGCUGUGUUCCUCCGUGGCCUCUGAUUUUAGUUCAUGCCUAGAGUUCUUCCCCUGACUUCCCUCCAUGUUGAAAUAUAACCUGAGUGUUCUAAGAUAAAAUAAAUCCUUUCCUCCUCAAGUUAUUUUUAGUCAUGGUGUUUUAUCAUAGCAAUAAAAACCCUAACUAAGAUGGGAACCAGGCAAUGGUAGCUGAUAGCCUGUUUGGCUGAGGUCUUGCAGUGGGGACAGGUAUACCAGUGAUAGUGAGUGUUUAUUUUUUUUUUUCAGCGAUUUCCCCUUAGCUGUUGGGUGACUGAGCCUGAGAUUCAGCUUCUGAGACUGGUGGGCUACCAGAGGUGCUGCUGCCAACCCUCACUAGGAAUAGAUGGUUGCACAGAGAUAUAUUCAAUGAAGCCGAGGAAGGAAGAUUGUGUGAGGAGGUGAAGAUCCUGCCUCACAAAACCAAACCAAACAGGAGUGAGUGGAAAAGAUAAUACAGAUGUCCUAUAUUUCUAUCAAGAUAAUACAGAUUUCCUAUUAUUCUGUCACCACUUUGCCCUUUUGUUAUUUUGAGACAGGGUCCUUCUAUGCAGCUCAGCUGCCCUUGAUGUGAUGAUUCUCCUGCCUCAGCUUCCAGAGUGCUGGAAUAGCCGCUGUGCCACACAUCUGGCUUCCUUAUUGUUUUUUCCCCCAUUAUUAUCGUUAGCACCUGUGUUGGGAAUAAAAUGGAGGGCCUCGCGCAUGCCUGGCAACCACUUUCAGCCAUCCCUAGUCCCGUUUUUCCUCGUCUUUACAUCACACUGUGGCACAUUUGUCAAAGUGAAUGAGCCAGUACUAUACAUUUUAUUACCUGAAGUCUAUUUAUUUAGAAUCCCUUGGUUUUACUUUGUUUUUGUUUUAUAAGAGUAAGGCCCUGUCACCCAGCCUAGCCUGGAACUCCCAAUCCAGAUGCUUGAAUGCUGGGUUGUAGGCCUGUGUUAUCACUCAGCUCCGAGGUUUUUCCUUACAGUCUCCUCUCUUCCUAGGUCACUCCCCCAUGACCUCACAUAAUAAUAAUGCCUCAGACUUGUCUUGUCUGUGUCAGUCUCAGACUGCUCUUGUUUUUGCUUAUUUGUUUGUUUUACAGACUAGACAGUUUUGAGGAGUACCAGCCAGGUGUUUUGUAGGAGGUCCAUUCACUGGUGCCUAUUUUAAGUUUCUCUCAUGAUUACUGUGGGACGAUGGGUUCUGGAAGGCCAGAGGUAAAGUACAGUUGUUUUGACCACAGUGAGGGUGUAUACGUCAAGACCCAUCAUUGUUGGUGCCUGGUCGUUUCCUGCAGGCAAGUUCAAUUGGUCAUGCUCUUUACCCUGGCAUUCAGUUCUUCCUCUUAGCAAAAACUAAUUUCAGAGUCGAUAGUAUAGACUAUAUCAUAACCACCCAGCUUUUGUUUUGGAUCUUUGCCAACUGUUAAGUUUUCUCAUGGCCCUGGAUUGGACCCUCUUCUGAGACACUCUAACUACUGCUCCUCCAAUGGCCCUUCUGCCAGCCUUGAAGCAGUUCCUGAGAGAACGAUGUCACCAACCCCCUAAAAGCAGUUUGGCUGACUUAUAAAAGGGACUAAUGGACCAUGAACCGUCCAAUUUGUCCUUUGUCUUUCCACUCUGGACAUGGGUUUUGGGAUUCUUUGGUAUCAAUUAACCUCUCUGUCUCACCAGAUUAGACCAGCUUCACAUCCUUCAGGACCAGCUCAACUCCCUGCCUGCUGCAGUACUCCAAAGUUGCAACGGACAAGAUCUGAGGAUGGGAUCUGCUAAGGGUGGGAUCUGUGCCCUCCUUGGACAAUGCUGCUUCCAGGCCAACAGAGCCUAACUGAUUUGAAAUGGGACUAGACAAAAAUUCCUUCUGGUUUCCUCCCACUCUGAUUCCUCCCCAGAUCACCUCUUUCCUCCUUAUUAUCUUCAUACUAAUGUUUUUACCCAAUUAUUUAUUUAUUAUUUUUUUUAAAGAUCAUUUUUUUUUUUAUGUG